AGGGUAACGUCUGGCUGUCUCGUCAGAGACUGCAGCAGAUCAAACAGUGAAACACACACAGUUUUCCUCGCAUAUACGCAGACGCAUCCACUCAUGCGCACCUAGAUUCACUUUCACUUUCAAACACACACACACACACACACACACACACACACACACACACACGCACGCACACGUACACGGAUUUCUUCCCGAACGCACGCUAACGCACGGACGCACACGCAAGUAUACUCAUUUUAUCACAUACACGGGCAAAUAUGCGCACACAUGCAGUUCUACAGGCACGCACGCACGCAUACAUAACCAGACUCACUUUGUGACACACACACACACACACACACACACACACAUUAUUUCAGUGUUUCAAGACCUAAGUGAGCGAAUCCUGGCAAUGUCCACCUCUUCCGCACCGGAGAGGUGCCAGUUCGUCCCUGGACAGUGGACUGUCACGGUCAACCCUCAGUCUCGGUUUGGCCACGGCUUAGUGACGAUGUUACGGGAUUUGCGGCGACGGGAUUUUCGGAUAACUUUUCUUUCCUUUGCCUUAUAAUAGUGCCACAUUAUUACAAGAUCCACUUUUCUCAGAUAUAACAUUCAUGAAGUGAAGAGAUAAGGGAAGCUGCCAAACUUUGAAAAAAACAUGUGUAUUAUUACACAACGCAGUGGAUUGCUUAGCUUCGCAGCGCUUCGUGUUGCUAAGAGUAUAUGGAGAAAUACAAACCAUCGUACGAGAAGACCAGGUCGAGGAGGAGGAGGAAGGAAGGAAGAGAUAGAGGAAGAUGAGAAGAGGAACACAAGGAAGGAAGGAAUUAAGAGAAAAAAAUAUAAGUGUUUCUCUUCCACAUUGCACAAAUACACUGGCUCAAAGACAAGAAAAACAAGGAAGAGGAUCAUUGCACAGAUGUCACCAAGCCACCCAGCCAGCCAGCCAGUCAGUCAGUCAGCCAAUCAGUUAACCACACACCCAGCCGGCCAGUCAGCCAGCAAGACAGUCAAUUGUGUUAAGAUAUGGAGAAACACAGACCAACGUACGAGAAGAACAGGUAGAGGAGGAGGAUGAAGGAAGGAAGAGAUAGAGGAAGAUGAGAAGAGGAACAUAAGGAAGGAAGGAAUUAAGAGAAAAAAACAUAAGGUUGGGGGGCGGGAGACGAGAACGAAGCAACAUCAGUAGCUCAGAAUGGCGCCUGGACCAGUAUUACUCCAGACACCACGCUCGCUACAUCUCUCCAGUCACCACGCUACCAGCGGCCCCUCCAGUCAACGCAGCCCAGUGUUCGUCUUUUGUCGUGGGUUUGACGUUCAGCAGCGGCAGGAACAGCAACGGGAAGCUUGAUCUGCGUGACGGAGGGUUUUCGUGCGGCGGGGUGACGUGCUGCUGAUGUGAGGUUAGCGGACCACACCACCCCACAGCAACCCACAGCACAGCACACCACACCACAGCGGAGGAGAAAUUAGUGGCGUUGACGAUCCAAAGGCCCUGACUCCACAGCGGUAAUGAGCCUCUUCUACCUUGCACUUCACGGACAACGCUCACACCUCUGCCUCCGCCACCGACGCAAGAUUGGGAAAGGACUCGCUGCUUCUUAACGACCGCCACCGCCGCUGCCGCCGUUGAGGGAGACUGGCUGGAUGAGUGGGUGAUGAUGAGAGGCGAGGCAGGUGUGGUGAGGAGGCGGAUUGGCGACGAGAACCAACAGAUGACGGCAGACACGGAAGAUUCCACUAACCAGGUAGAUGAUGAUGGUGUGGGUGUGAGGAUUGGGUGUGGUUGAAGUUUGAGGGGGUUUGACGUGGUGUGGUUUACCGAGAAUGGCGUGGGAGAUGUGAGAAUGAAGGGAUGGGAGUGUUAGGACGGUUAAGGGCCAGGAUGUUACGUAACACGGGAGACGCUGGGAGGAGAACGAGGGAGGAGGGUGUAUAUGUAAACUGGAGUUGUAAGUGGAAUAACGAUCGAGGAGGGCGAGUGAGAGGCUGACUGAGGCCGUGAAGUGGCGUUAAUUUUUGUCCAUUACAGGAGUUGGUGAUCCGAAGCCGUGAUUGCAGCGAUCCCGUGCGUCCUGCACCAUCAGAGAAGGACUCUGGCUUAGCACUGCGCCUGCAUUGACUCCACCCCUCUCCCUUACCCAACCAACUCCGGCGCCUCCGUCCCCGCGGCUACCGCUACUCGGCGGUGGGGUACUGCCUCGCAUUGGACCUUCACUGCCGUCCCGCUAAUACGUGCCGCCGUCGCCGCUACUGGCACUUAAAUAAUUUUCAACUUAACAUAAAAAGAUCUGCAC